UACAGAGACUGCAAGCGUUUAUUCGGAUUCACUGGGCGUAAAGGGUGCGCAGGCGGCCGUGUGUGUGAGGCGUGAAAGCCCGGGGCUUAACCCCGGAAUUGCACCUCAAACUACAUGGCUAGAGCAUUGGAGAGGGUAGCGGAAUUCACGGUGUAGCAGUGAAAUGCGUAGAUAUCGUGAGGAACACCAGAGGCGAAGGCGGCUACCUGGACAAUUGCUGACGCUCAGGCACGAAAGCGUGGGGAGCAAAAGGG
rnacentral:rRNA from 1 species